GCCAGCAGCCAUACCGCCCUGCAACUCACAACGUGAAAUCCACAAGAGCUCAGCAGGUGUGAGCCUGGUCAGUACCUGGAUGGGAGACUCCUGGGAAAGCUGAGGCUGCUGCUGGAA
rnacentral:rRNA from 1 species